rnacentral:misc_RNA from 1 species
AUGAGUGGUGUUUGGUUUGAUACGGGUGGUCGGCUCCCUGCUUGAGCAGGCACGGCCACGCGUGCAUUCCUUUUCAGUUGUGCGGCAAGGCUUGUAUCGUCUUGAUCGUAUAAGUGGGUUUCUUGUGUUGCAUACCUGAUGAAUGGCAUCGUUUUGAUCAAAAUGGUACCUUUUUCGUCUGACGAUGCACUUAUUGCGUUGUCGGAUGAACCGUGUAGCAUCCUCUUUGAUCCAUACAGUUGACGUGUACUCGUUGAUUGUUUGGCCCGUUGAGGGUGACUUGGUCUCUCGGAUAUGGAAGCCAAAGUGGGCAUGGGUUCGCAAGAUCCCUUUAUUGCCCUCAUUGAGCGUUCUCGCUUCUCUUACACGACUGCCUUUCACGUAUGGCACGUCCCAGCGUGUUUGGCUAUGUCGAAGAGGAAU